rnacentral:rRNA from 1 species
GUGCCAGCCGCCGCGGUAAUACGUAGGGGGCAAGCGUUGUCCGGAAUUAUUGGGCGUAAAGGGCACGCAGGCGGUUUCUUAAGUCCGAUGUGAAAUCUUGCGGCUCAACCGCAAGCUGCCAUUGGAAACUGGGAACUUGAGUACAGAAGAGGAGAGUGGAAUUCCACGUGUAGCGGUGAAAUGCGUAGAGAUGUGGAGGAACACCAGUGGCGAAGGCGACUCUCUGGUCUGUAACUGACGCUGAGGUGCGAAAGCGUGGGUAGCAAACAGGAUUAGAAACCCGGGUAGUCC